UACGUAGGGGGCAAGCGUUGUCCGGAAUCAUUGGGCGUAAAGAGCGUGUAGGCGGCCCGAUAAGUCCGCUGUGAAAGUCCAGGGCUCAACCCUGGAAUGCCGGUGGAUACUGUCGGGCUCGAGUCCGGAAGAGGUGAGUGGAAUUCCUGGUGUAGCGGUGAAAUGCGCAGAUAUCAGGAGGAACACCAAUGGCGAAGGCAGCUCACUGGGGCGGUACUGACGCUGAGACGCGAAAGCGUGGGGAGCAAACAGG
rnacentral:rRNA from 1 species